UGCAGGUACUGGUUGAAUAAGGACCGGCUAAUUCCGUGCCAGCAGCCGCGGUAAUACGGAAGGUCCGAGCGUUAUCCGGAUUUAUUGGGUUUAAAGGGUGCGCGGGCGGGGAGCCAAGUCAGCCGUCAAAUCGCGGAGCUCAACUCCGUCCAGCGGUUGAAACUGGUUCUCUUGAGUGCGGCAGAGGAAGGUGGAAUUCGUGGUGUAGCGGUGAAAUGCAUAGAUAUCACGAAGAACUCCGAUUGCGAAGGCAGCCUUCUGGGCCGUAACUGACGCUCAUGCACGAAGGUGUGGGUAUCAAACAGGAUUAGAUACCCUG
rnacentral:rRNA from 1 species